AAGGCCUCGGCUUUUCUUUUAGAGUAACAGCUUCUUGAAGAAGAGAGUGAUUUGAGGAUCGUGGCCUCGUACCAUGCGCCUCUAAACCCUUCUUCAUCGCUGCUCACCUCCACCAGGUCUCCUAUGCUAAAAUUCCGUCCGCUAUUUUGCCUGCUGGAGCGCCCCCCUCCCAUGCCAGCCUAAAGCAAUCAGUGUGAGGAAAAGUCAAGGCGAAAAGCAAGACGUCAGUCAAAUGCUUUUCUAUUCUAUUUCUAUUUCUGUUGCCUUUGCAUUUGGGUACUAUUUGUUUAUAUCUCAGGCCCUGAUUCUGGACUCAACUUAAAAAAGCGUUAAGCUCAAUUGAUGGAUGGAUACACUAGCGGAGUGCUAGUCCGAUGAAAUUGAAAUAGAGAGUAAAU
rnacentral:lncRNA from 1 species